UUCGCAAUGCCCGAAAGGGUGAACGAGCGACGCCGCGUGCGGGAUGAAGGCCUUCGGGUCGUAAACCGCUUUUGUAAGGGAAAAACUUAAUGAUGGUACCUUACGAAUAAGAGGUUACUAACUCUGUGCCAGCAGUAGCGGUAAUACAGAGGUGGCGACCGUUGUUCGGAAUCACUGGGCAUAAAGCGCGUGUAGGCGGCAUCGUAAGUCGGGUGUGAAAUCCCUCGGCCUAACCGAGGAAUUGCGCCCGAAACUACCUUGCUUGAGGACCAGAGGGGAGCCUGGAAUUCCUGGUGGAGCGGUGAAAUGCGUUGAUAUCAGGAGGAACACCGGCGGCGAAGGCGAGGCUCUGGCUGGUUACUGACGCUGAGACGCGAAAGCUAGGGGAGCAAACGGGAUUAGAUACCCCGGUAGUCCUAGCCGUAAACGAUGGGCACUAAGUAGAGGGGUUUU
rnacentral:rRNA from 1 species